rnacentral:rRNA from 1 species
AGACCCGAAACCCGGUGAUCUAGCCAUGGGCAGGUUGAAGGUUGGGUAACACUAACUGGAGGACCGAACCGACUAAUGUUGAAAAAUUAGCGGAUGACCUGUGGCUGGGGGUGAAAGGCCAAUCAAACCGGGAGAUAGCUGGUUCUCCCCGAAAGCUAUUUAGGUAGCGCCUCGUGAACUCAUCUCCGGGGGUAGAGCACUGUUUCGGCUAGGGGGCCAUCCCGGCUUACCAACCCGAUGCAAACUGCGAAUACCGGAGAAUGUUAUCACGGGAGACACACGGCGGGUGCUAACGUCCGUCGUGAAGAGGGAAACAACCCAGACCGCCAGCUAAGGUCCCAAAGUCAUGGUUAAGUGGGAAACGAUGUGGGAAGGCCCAGACAGCCAGGAUGUUGGCUUAGAAGCAGCCAUCAUUUAAAGAAAGCGUAAUAGCUCACUGGUCGAGUCGGCCUGCGCGGAAGAUGUAACGGGGCUAAACCAUGCACCGAAGCUGCGGCAGCGAACGUAUCACUUAAAGCGAUUCAGCGGGUUACGAUUGACGGAGCGAAGCGACGUCAAAGCGUAUACAAAGUCGAGUCGGUUUAAGGAUACGUUCGUUGGGUAGGGGAGCGUUCUGUAAGCCUGUGAAGGUGGCCUGUGAGGGUUGCUGGAGGUAUCAGAAGUGCGAAUGCUGACAUAAGUAACGAUAAAGCGGGUGAAAAGCCCGCUCGCCGGAAGACCAAGGGUUCCUGUCCAACGUUAAUCGGGGCAGGGUGAGUCGACCCCUAAGGCGAGGCCGAAAGGCGUAGUCGAUGGGAAACGGGUUAAUAUUCCCGUACUUGGUGUUACUGCGAAGGGGGGACGGAGAAGGCUAUGUUGGCCGGGCGACGGUUGUCCCGGUUUAAGCGUGUAGGUGUGUGUUCCAGGUAAAUCCGGUUCACUUUAACACUGAGGCGUGACGACGAGGCACUACGGUGCUGAAGCAACAAAUGCCCUGCUUCCAGGAAAAGCCUCUAAGCAUCAGGUAACAUCAAAUCGUACCCCAAACCGACACAGGUGGUCAGGUAGAGAAUACCAAGGCGCUUGAGAGAACUCGGGUGAAGGAACUAGGCAAAAUGGUGCCGUAACUUCGGGAGAAGGCACGCUGACACGUAGGUGAAGUGAUUUACUCAUGGAGCUGAAGUCAGUCGAAGAUACCAGCUGGCUGCAACUGUUUAUUAAAAACACAGCACUGUGCAAACACGAAAGUGGACGUAUACGGUGUGACGCCUGCCCGGUGCCGGAAGGUUAAUUGAUGGGGUCAGCGCAAGCGAAGCUCCUGAUCGAAGCCCCGGUAAACGGCGGCCGUAACUAUAACGGUCCUAAGGUAGCGAAAUUCCUUGUCGGGUAAGUUCCGACCUGCACGAAUGGCGUAAUGAUGGCCAGGCUGUCUCCACCCGAGACUCAGUGAAAUUGAACUCGCUGUGAAGAUGCAGUGUACCCGCGGCAAGACGGAAAGACCCCGUGAACCUUUACUAUAGCUUGACACUGAACAUUGAGCCUUGAUGUGUAGGAUAGGUGGGAGGCUUUGAAGUGUGGACGCCAGUCUGCAUGGAGCCGACCUUGAAAUACCACCCUUUAAUGUUUGAUGUUCUAACGUGGACCCGUAAUCCGGGUUGCGGACAGUGUCUGGUGGGUAGUUUGACUGGGGCGGUCUCCUCCUAAAGAGUAACGGAGGAGCACGAAGGUUGGCUAAUCCUGGUCGGACAUCAGGAGGUUAGUGCAAUGGCAUAAGCCAGCUUGACUGCGAGCGUGACGGCGCGAGCAGGUGCGAAAGCAGGUCAUAGUGAUCCGGUGGUUCUGAAUGGAAGGGCCAUCGCUCAACGGAUAAAAGGUACUCCGGGGAUAACAGGCUGAUACCGCCCAAGAGUUCAUAUCGACGGCGGUGUUUGGCACCUCGAUGUCGGCUCAUCACAUCCUGGGGCUGAAGUAGGUCCCAAGGGUAUGGCUGUUCGCCAUUUAAAGUGGUACGCGAGCUGGGUUUAGAACGUCGUGAGACAGUUCGGUCCCUAUCUGCCGUGGGCGCUGGAGAACUGAGGGGGGCUGCUCCUAGUACGAGAGGACCGGAGUGGACGCAUCACUGGUGUUCGGGUUGUCAUGCCAAUGGCACUGCCCGGUAGCUAAAUGCGGAAGAGAUAAGUGCUGAAAGCAUCUAAGCACGAAACUUGCCCCGAGAUGAGUUCUCCCUGAGACUUAGAGUCUCCUGAAGGAACGUUGAAGACGACGACGUUGAUAGGCCGGGUGUGUAAGCGCAGCGAUGCGUUGAGCUAACCGGUACUAAUGAACCGUGAGG